GAGGAAUAAGCAUCGGCUAACUCCGUGCCAGCAGCCGCGGUAAUACGGGGGAUGCAAGCGUUAUCCGGAAUCAUUGGGCGUAAAGCGCCUGUAGGUUGUUUAAUAAGUCUGUUGUUAAAGACUAGGGCUUAACCCUAGAAAAGCAAUGGAAACUACUAGACUAGAGUAUGGCAGGGGUAGAGGGAAUUUCUAGUGUAGCGGUGAAAUGCGUAGAUAUUAGAAAGAACACCGGUGGCGAAAGCGCUCUACUGGACCAUUACUGACACUCAGAGGCGAAAGCUAGGGUAGCAAAAGGGAUUAGAUACCCCUGUAGUCCUAGCCGUAAACGAUGGAUACUAGGUGUUGUGCAUAUUGUACAGUAUCGUAGCUAACGCGUUAAGUAUCCCGCCUGGGGAGUACGCUCGCAAGGGUGAAACUCAAAGGAAUUGACGGGGGCCCGCACAAGCGGUGGAGCAUGUGGUUUAAUUCGAUGCAACGCGAAGAACCUUACCAGGGCUUGACAUACUACAGAUUCUUUUGAGAAAAAGAAGUGCCUUCGGGAAUGUAGAUACAGGUGGUGCAUGGCUGUCGUCAGCUCGUGUCGUGAGAUGUUGGGUUAAGUCCCGCAACGAGCGCAACCCUUAUUUUUAGUUACUAAUUCGUUAGGUUCUCUAGAAAGACUGCCGGUGACAAACCGGAGGAAGGUGAGGACGACGUCAAGUCAGCAUGCCCCUUAUGUCCUGGGCUACACACGUGCUACAAUGGUUAAGACAAAGAGUCGCGAGCUCGCGAGAGUCAGCUAAUCUCAUAAACUUAGCCUAAGUUCAGAUUGUAGGCUGCAACUCGCCUACGAGAAG
rnacentral:rRNA from 1 species